CCAGGUUAGCCCAAUAAACAGCCCAUUAUGCGACGAAGGAGAGGAUUAGCGAGCGAUGCCGAUGCCUGCAUUAGCCGACCGAUUAGCGAUAUACUCCGCCGCCGCCUGCCGCCCGCCGCCGCUCUCGCUCACGCUCCACCGCCGCCGCCAGGACCUCCAGUGAUCGCGGGACGGAGAGGAGAGGCGAGGCGGCGCAGGGCAGGGUGUGGAUUGAAUCUGGCGCAUCGUCCGUCCCCGAUUCGCCCUCACCGCAGGCAGGGCAGGUACACAGAUCCCUUUCCUUCGGUGAUUGCUAGCUGCGAAUUGAUUUGGGUAGGUGUUCACCACCGAUCUCGUCUGAUCUGGCCGUCGUCUCCGUCACGCCACCAGAUUGCUAAUCGUUUUCGGAAUCCAACUCCUCCCCUCCCUCCAAUUCCAAUUCCGAUUCUAACACUGAGAUUUUGCAGGGCGGCGGCAGGGCCAUCAUAUAAUAAAUUCAAGGCUCGAUCUUUCUGCCGAAACUCUUCAAGGACGCGUGAUUGGUGAACACAGAGGCAGAGCUGCAGCAGGAGGAGGAUUAGAUAGAUUACUCUGUUAUUACUAUUAGGUCCUGUCAAAUCGCAGUGGGGAUGUCUAAUAAGCGCCGGGGAUAUGCCCGCGACGGCGGUGAAAAGAGGUCGCGGCGGAUCAAGCAUCUGUACCUCGUGUUGGAUGACUGGACCAAGGGGUACAGCAUCCACAAGAUCCAAGCCGACAGCUUCAACUCUGACUCUGACUCUGACUCUGAUGACCAGCACAGGGGCGCUGCCCGGCACCUCCCGGAGCCUCCGACCCUGCGGUUAGAGUGCCCGGUUGGCACUGUACCUCAUCCCGGCAUGUCGUUCUCUGCCUUGGGCACCAAGAUCUUCACCUUCAUGUCCUCAUCUACGACACCAAGACGGCGGCAAUGACGAUUGGCGCCCAUGCCCCUGCUGACAUGGUCUGUGGCUUCGGCAUCACCGUGGUCGUUGAUGAGAUGCUCUAUGCAUUAUCUUACCACUUCCGCGAGAAACAACACUCCUUUGGGGUCAUGUCAUGGGGGUCCACCGCGCCGGAUGCGCUGCAACAACCAACCGAGGGCUGGUCCUGGAAGACUCUGCCGCCACCACCGCCAACGUUCCACCGCCGAGUCAACUCCUAUGCACUACACCCGGAUGGAUGCACCAUCUUUAUGUCCACAGCUAACUUCAUGACGGCACCUAGCAAAGGUUGCAUGGGCACCUACUCAUUCAACACCAAGGAUUCUGUGUGGAGAUGGCAUGGGGAGUGGGCCUUGCCAUUCAGCGGCCAAGCACACUUUGACAGGGAGCUCAACGCUUGGGUUGGCCUUCAUUGGGAUGGCUACAUCUCUGCUUGCCAAGUUGCCUCCCCCAGCUGCCACAGCACGACUCCAACGUUGCAGCUGGACUGCCAGACAACCAAGGAGAAGUUGUUCUGCAAGGACCGGAAGCCGCAGAUGGGAGCCUCUCUCACCUACAUGGGCACGAGCAAGUUCUGCCUCGUCGAGGGAGUGGAGGAGGAACAGGCUCUCGGAGGCCAUGAUGGCUGUGUGCUCCAUAUCACCAUAUUUGGGCUCAAGUUCAAUCACAAGGGAGAGCUGCGGAUCACAGAUCACCGCUCCACGCGCUCCUUCAUAGUGUCUAGUCAUAAAGAUCACUUUAUGCCUGUAGCAUUUUGGAUGUAGAAACCCGUUUGGCUUGUUCCAAAAUCCUUGCUUGACUGUCACUGGUUCAUGUUGUGCUUUGUCCUCCUAGAAAGUGGAAUCAAUAAAAAGUUCUGUUUGCUUGGAAGUUGUGCGAUA
rnacentral:rRNA from 1 species